CCUUCCGUAGGGUGAACCUGCGGAAGGAUCAUUACCGAGUUUUCGGGCUUCGGCUCGACUCUCCCACCCUUUGUGAACGUACCUCUGUUGCUUUGGCGGCUCCGGCCGCCAAAGGACCUCCAAACUCCAGUCAGUAAACGCAGACGUCUGAUAAACAAGUUAAUAAACUAAAACUUUCAACAACGGAUCUCUUGGUUCUGGCAUCGAUGAAGAACGCAGCGAAAUGCGAUAAGUAAUGUGAAUUGCAGAAUUCAGUGAAUCAUCGAAUCUUUGAACGCACAUUGCGCCCCUUGGUAUUCCGGGGGGCAUGCCUGUUCGAGCGUCAUUACAACCCUCAAGCUCUGCUUGGAAUUGGGCACCGUCCUCACUGCGGACGCGCCUCAAAGACCUCGGCGGUGGCUGUUCAGCCCUCAAGCGUAGUAGAAUACACCUCGCUUUGGAGUGGUUGGCGUCGCCCGCCGGACGAACCUUCUGAACUUUUCUCAAGGUUGACCUCGGAUCAGGUAGGGAUACCCGCUGAACUUAAGCAUAUCAAUAAGGCGGAGGAA
rnacentral:rRNA from 1 species